rnacentral:rRNA from 1 species
CCUACGUGAGGCAGCAGUGGGGAAUAUUGGGCAAUGGGCGCAAGCCUGACCCAGCAACGCCGCGUGAAGGAAGAAGGCUUUCGGGUUGUAAACUUCUUUUAAGAGGGAAGAGCAGAAGACGGUACCUCUUGAAUAAGCCACGGCUAACUACGUGCCAGCAGCCGCGGUAAUACGGAGGUGGCAAGCGUUUUCCGGAUUUACUGGGUGUAAAGGGCGUGUAGCCGGGCUGACAAGUCAGAUGUGAAAUCCCGUGGCUCAACCACGGAACUGCAUUUAAAACUGUCGGUCUUGAGUAUCGGAGAGGCAGGCGGAAUUCCUGGUGUAGCGGUGAAAUGCGUAGAUAUUAGGAGGAACACCAGUGGCGAGGGCGGCCUGCUGGACGACAACUGACGGUGAGGCGCGAAGGCGUGGGAGCAAACAGGAUUAGAUACCCCUGUAGUC